AGUCGCACGAGAAAGUGGAGCAAUCCAUGAGUACAGUGGCGUACGGGUGAGUAACACGUGGAUCAUCUACCUCUUAGUGGGGAAUAACCCUGGGAAACCGGGGCUAAUACCGCAUAAGCUCGAGAGAGGAAAGCAGCAAUGCGCUGAGAGAGGAGUCCGCGGCCGAUUAGCUAGUUGGCAGGGUAAAUGCCUACCAAGGCAAAGAUCGGUAGCCGGCCUGAGAGGGCACACGGCCACACUGGCACUGAAACACGGGCCAGACUCCUACGGGAGGCAGCAGUGGGGAAUCUUGCACAAUGGGGGAAACCCUGAUGCAGCGACGCCGCGUGAGCGAUGAAGCCCUUCGGGGUGUAAAGCUCUUUCGGCAGGGAAGAUCAUGACGGUACCUGCAGAAGCAGCUGCGGCUAACUACGUGCCAGCAGCCGCGGUAAUACGUAGGCAGCGAGCGUUGUUCGGAGUUACUGGGCGUAAAGGGUGUGUAGGCGGUUGCUUAAGUUUGGUGUGAAAUCUCCCGGCUCAACUGGGAGGGUGCGCCGAAUACUGAGUGACUCGAGUGCGGGAGAGGAGAGUGGAAUUCCUGGUGUAGCGGUGAAAUGCGUAGAUAUCAGGAGGAACACCGGCGGUGUAGACGGCUCUCUGGACCGUAACUGACGCUGAGACACGAAAGCGUGGGUAGCAAACAGGAUUAGAUACCCUGGUAGUCCACGCCCUAAACGAUGCAUAUUUGGUGUGGGUCAUUCAGUUGAUCCGUGCCGGAGCUA
rnacentral:rRNA from 1 species